rnacentral:rRNA from 1 species
GAUGCCCUGGCAGUCAGAGGCGAUGAAGGGCGUACUAAUCUGCGAUAAGCGCCGGUAAGGUGAUAUGAACCGUUAUAACCGGCGAUACCCGAAUGGGGAAACCCAGUGUGAUUCGUCACACUAUCAUUAACUGAAUCCAUAGGUUAAUGAGGCGAACCGGGGGAACUGAAACAUCUAAGUACCCCGAGGAAAAGAAAUCAACCGAGAUUCCCCCAGUAGCGGCGAGCGAACGGGGAGGAGCCCAGAGCCUGAAUCAGCAUGUGUGUUAGUGGAAGCGUCUGGAAAGGCGCGCGAUACAGGGUGACAGCCCCGUACACAAAAGCGCAUGUGCUGUGAGCUCGAUGAGUAGGGCGGGACACGUGGUAUCCUGUCUGAAUAUGGGGGGACCAUCCUCCAAGGCUAAAUACUCCUGACUGACCGAUAGUGAACCAGUACCGUGAGGGAAAGGCGAAAAGAACCCCGGCGAGGGGAGUGAAAAAGAACCUGAAACCGU